rnacentral:rRNA from 1 species
AUUCUGGUGUCCCAGGCGUAGAGGAACCACACCAAUCCAUCCCGAACUUGGUAGUUAAACUCUACUGCGGUGACGAUACUGUAGGGGAAGCCCUGCGGAAAAAUAGCUCGAUGCCAGGAUGAUAAAAAGCUUUAUGUCUCU